GGUUCUAUGGUGUAAUGGUUCACUCUGGACUUUGAAUCCAGCGAUCCGAGUUCAAGUCUCGGUAGAACCU
rnacentral:tRNA from 1 species